ACCCGCACAAGCGGUGGAUGAUGUGGUUUAAUUCGAUGCAACGCGAAAAACCUUACCCACCUUUGACAUGGCAGGAAGUUACCAGAGAUGGUUUCGUGCUCGAAAGAGAACCUGCACACAGGUGCUGCAUGGCUGUCGUCAGCUCGUGUCGUGAGAUGUUGGGUUAAGUCCCGCAACGAGCGCAACCCUUGCCAUCAGUUGCUACGAAAGGGCACUCUGAUGGGACUGCCGGUGACAAACCGGAGGAAGGUGGGGAUGACGUCAAGUCCUCAUGGCCCUUAUAGGUGGGGCUACACACGUCAUACAAUGGCCGGUACAAAGGGCAGCCAACCCGCGAGGGGGAGCCAAUCCCAUAAAGCCGGUCGUAGUCCGGAUCGCAGUCUGCAACUCGACUGCGUGAAGUCGGAAUCGCUAGUAAUCGUGGAUCAGCAUGUCACGGUGAAUACGUUCCCGGGUCUU
rnacentral:rRNA from 1 species